rnacentral:tRNA from 1 species
GGAGAGGUGGCAGAGUGGUUGAAUGCGGCGGCCUCGAAAUCCGUUAUGGGGUGACCCAUCGGGGGUUCGAAUCCCCCCCUCUCCG